GAUAUCAUUUUAGAGAAAAUAUGAAAUAUAGAUCGCAAAAAGAAUGAUCAAAAUCAUCUUUUAUCGUCAAGACAAUUGGAGAUUUACAAACUGUAUAUCUGGUAAAAGGCCGAUUGAUUGCUAAAACAAACCAGAUGGUGUGGAGAAAGUGGAAACUAGUAUCUGUAUUGUUGUUGUGUACAUAUCUUGUUAUGGCGAUUGGAUAUAUCUUAUUGUAUAUCAUCACAACCAGCGAAGGUAAAGAGUUACAAGAAUUUUCCAAAUUACGCAGCUGUGUUCAUGUGAAUAGAAACAACAACUCCAGAAUAGAGUCAGCAAAUGUAAUUAAUUUGUAGAAUUUCAAGAUUAAUAGAAAAUGCGUUCAUUUAGACUUGGUUUGUACACUAUAGAAACGCGUUUUGUCUACAUAAGGCUCAUCGGUGUCGCUCGAAAUAAACAGUUAAAAAGACCAAAAACAAUGAAGUUGA